rnacentral:rRNA from 1 species
GAUGAACGCUGGCGGCGUGCCUAAUACAUGCAAGUAGAACGCUGAAGCUUGGUGCUUGCACCGAGCGGAUGAGUUGCGAACGGGUGAGUAACGCGUAGGUAACCUGCCUGGUAGCGGGGGAUAACUAUUGGAAACGAUAGCUAAUACCGCAUAACAGUAGAUGUUGCAUGACAUUUGCUUGAAAGGUGCAAUUGCAUCACUACCAGAUGGACCUGCGUUGUAUUAGCUAGUUGGUGAGGUAACGGCUCACCAAGGCGACGAUACAUAGCCGACCUGAGAGGGUGAUCGGCCACACUGGGACUGAGACACGGCCCAGACUCCUACGGGAGGCAGCAGUAGGGAAUCUUCGGCAAUGGACGGAAGUCUGACCGAGCAACGCCGCGUGAGUGAAGAAGGUUUUCGGAUCGUAAAGCUCUGUUGUAAGAGAAGAACGAGUGUGAGAGUGGAAAGUUCACACUGUGACGGUAUCUUACCAGAAAGGGACGGCUAACUACGUGCCAGCAGCCGCGGUAAUACGUAGGUCCCGAGCGUUAUCCGGAUUUAUUGGGCGUAAAGCGAGCGCAGGCGGUUAGAUAAGUCUGAAGUUAAAGGCUGUGGCUUAACCAUAGUACGCUUUGGAAACUGUUUAACUUGAGUGCAAGAGGGGAGAGUGGAAUUCCAUGUGUAGCGGUGGAAUGCGCAGAUAUCAGGAAGAACACCGAUGGCGAAGGCAGGUCUCUGGGCUGUAACUGACGCUGAGAAGCGAAAGCAUGGGGAGCGAACAGG